rnacentral:rRNA from 1 species
UACGUAGGUGACAAGCGUUGUCCGGAUUUACUGGGCGUAAAGAGCGCGCAGGCGGUCGUUCAAGUCGAGUGUGAAAGCCCCCGGCUCAACUGGGGAGGGUCACUCGAUACUGAUCGACUCGAAGGCAGGAGAGGGUAGUGGAAUUCCGCGUGUAGCAGUGAAAUGCGUAGAUAUGCGGAGGAACACCGAUGGCGAAGGCAAUCCCCUGGGCCUGCACUGACGCUCAUGCACGAAAGCGUGGGGAGCAAACAGG